CCCACGUCACUGUGACACUGAUGGGCACUGCGCCAGGUGGCGGCUGCCAAGCUCCCAGGGUGACCAAGUGGCUCCGGCCCUGAAGUGUGGGGACGGAGGCGCUCACUACAGGAAGUCGUGCGCAGCAAUGACGCAGCACAGGUCCGACUGAAGCCGCAGAUGUCACGAAGGCUGAGAUGGUGCCCCAAACCCACAAGGAUGCCAGCGCCAACGGAGCCCCGGGAAGUGGUGGCAGCAGUGUGCAGCACAGUUGGGGCCAGUGCUGUGGUGCAGCAGGUUAAAGCCCCAGCCUGCGGCGCCAGCUUCCCAUAUGGGCACAGGUUCAAGUCCCGGCUGUUCCACUUCUGAUCCAGCUCUCUGCUGUGGCCUGGGAAAGCAGUGGCGGAUGGCCCAAGUCCUCGGGUCCCUGCACCUGUGUGAGAAGACCCAGAGGGGCUCUUGGCUCCUGGCUUCAGUUCGGUACAGCUCUGGCUGUUGCGGCUGAUUGGGAAGUGAACCAGCGGAUGGAGGACCUCUCUCUCUCUUUCUCCCUCUCUCUCUGCCUCUCCUUCUGUGUGUAACUGUCUUUCAAAUAAAAAUAAAUCUUUAAAAGAA